rnacentral:RNase_P_RNA from 1 species
CGGCCACCCGGGGUGACCCGCGGGACAGUGCCACAGAAAGCAGACCGCCCGGGACUCCGGUCCCGGGUAAGGGUGAAACGGUGGUGUAAGAGACCACCAGUGCCCAGGGCGACCUGGGCAGCUAGGUAAACCCCACCCGGAGCAAGGUCAAGAAGGAAGCACCCCGGUGCUUCUGCGCGGACGUUCGAGGGCUGCCCGCCCGAGUCCGCGGGUAGACCGCUGGAGGCCGGUGGCAACGCCGGUCCUAGAUGGAUGGCCGUCGCCGGCGGGCCCGCGAGGACCCGCCGGAACAGAACCCGGCGUA